CCUACGGGGCGCAGCAGUAGGGAAUUUUCGUCAAUGGGCGCAAGCCUGAACGAGCAAUGCCGCGUGAACGAGGAAGGUCUUCGGAUCGUAAAGUUCUGUUGUAGGGGAAAAAGAGCGGAGAGAGGAAAUGGUCUCCGAUUGAUAUUACCCUUCGAGGAAGUCACGGCUAACUACGUGCCAGCAGCCGCGGUAAUACGUAGGUGGCGAGCGUUAUCCGGAAUGAUUGGGUUUAAAGGGUGCGUAGGCGGACUGGAAAGUCAGCGGUAAAAUCGAGAGGCUCAACCUCUUUCCGCCGUUGAAACUGU
rnacentral:rRNA from 1 species